rnacentral:pre_miRNA from 1 species
AGUGCAAUUGCUAGGCCAUAUGGCAGUUGAAUAUUUAGUUUUUAAGAAACUGCCAAAUUGUUUUCCAGAGUAGCUGUACCAUUUUAUAUUCCCACCAGCAGU